AAUAGCCUAACGGCUGAACCAGCAACUUGGAGGAAUGUAUAGCGAAAGCUAGCUGCAUUUAACUUAGCGAAAGCUAGAGUUGGUGUAGUAUUGACUGUAUCAAAUAAAGUUCUAGGUGGGUUAUGAUGAUGACAUUUCCCAUCUAUGUGUCUUGACCAAAUUACGUGCCAGCAGUCGCGGUAACACGUAAAAGACUAGUGUUAUUCAUCUUUAAUAGGUUUAAAGCGUACCUAGACGGUAAAUCAAGUCCGACAAGGAUACUAAUCUACUAGAGUUUAAUGUGAGGGGGCACUAAGGUACUGAUAAGUGUAGAGAUGAAAUUCUGUGAUACAAUAUACGGCACAGGUAAACGCGAAAGCAUCUCAUUAUGUAAUAACUGACGUUGAGGGACGAAGGCUAUGUGUAGCAAAAAGGAUUAGAUACCCAAGUAGUCUUAGCAGAAAAUUAUGAAUGUCAUAGGAUGGAAACAACAAAUUUUUUUUUCUAUAAAUGAAAGUGUAAGCAUUCCACCUCGAGAGUAAUUUGGCAACAUUGGAACUGAAAUCAUUAGACCGUUUCUGAAACAAGUAGUGAAGUAUGUUGUUUAAUUUGAUGGUCCGCAAAAAACCUUACCACAAUUUGAAUAGAAAAAUUAUUUUUCAUACAAGCGCUGCACGGUUGUCUUCAGUUAAUGUCGUGAGAUCUUGGUUAGUUCCAUUAAAUUAACGUAAACCCUUACUUUAUUUUUACAUAGAGUAGUUCUCCGCUAUAUUGGAUAAGAUAACAGGGACUAAGACAAGUCAUCAUGGCCUUAAUAUUGUGGGCUAUAGACGUGCCACAUAUGCCUUACAAAGGGAUGCGAAAUUGCGAAAUUGAGCUAAUCCCCUAAAAUUGGAUAUAAACUUAAU
rnacentral:rRNA from 1 species